UACGUAGGGGCCGAGCGUUGUCCGGAGUUAUUGGGCGUAAAGCGCGCGCAGGCGGCCUCGCGCGCCCCGACGUGAAAGCCCCCGGCUUAACCGGGGAGGGUCGUUGGGGACGGCGGGGCGUUGAGGGCGGGAGAGGUCGGUGGAAUUCCCGGUGUAGUGGUGAAAUGCGUAGAGAGUCGGGAGGAACACCUGUGGCGAAGGCAAUCCCCUGGGCCUGCACUGACGCUCAUGCACGAAAGCGUGGGGAGCAAACAGG
rnacentral:rRNA from 1 species